CUAACGGCUGAACCAGCAACUUGCAGGAAUGAGAGUUAAUAUAAUAAGUUUAUUAACUUGCUUGACUAGGUCUUAUAAAGUUCUGGAUAAAGCUUAUUAUGAAAACUUUAUAUCCAUAGGUCUCGACCAAAUCUUGUGCCAGCAGUCGCGGUAAGACAAGGGAGACGAGUGUUAUUCAUCUUUAACAGGUAUAUAGGGUACCUAGACGGUGUGCAAUGGCUUAAAUAAGUACCUGGUACACUUGAGUUUGAUAUGUGAGAGGAAUAUGUCGGAAUUGUUGGAGGAAAGAUGAAAUUUGUUAAUACCAAUAGGACUGAUAACGGCGAAGGCAAACCUCUAUGUACAUGUACUUGCUAUUUCUAAAUUAGGAAAACAGCAAUGUGCUAUAACUGACGUUGAGGGACGAAGGCUCAGAGAGUGAAGAGGAUUAGAUACCCCCGUAACCUGGGCAGACAAUGAUGAGUGCCAUAGGUUGGCUUUAAGGCGGAACUAUAAAUGAAAGUGGAAGCACUCCACCUCAAGAGUAAUGUGGCAACGCAGGAACUGAAAUCAUUAGACCGUUUCUGAAACCAGUAGUGAAGU
rnacentral:rRNA from 1 species